rnacentral:rRNA from 1 species
AGAUUGAACGCUAGCGGCAUGCCUAACACAUGCAAGUCGAACGGUAACAGGCCCUUCGGGGUGCUGACGAGUGGCGGACGGGUGAGUAAUGCGUAGGAAUCUACCCACGAGUGGGGGAUAGCCCGGAGAAAUCCGGAUUAAUACCGCAUAUGCCCUACGGGGUAAAGCGGGGGAUCGUAAGACCUCGCGCUGGUGGAUGAGCCUACGUCCGAUUAGUUAGUUGGUGGGGUAAAGGCCUACCAAGGCUACGAUCGGUAGCUGGUCUGAGAGGACGACCAGCCACACUGGGACUGAGACACGGCCCAGACUCCUACGGGAGGCAGC